rnacentral:ncRNA from 1 species
CAAAGGCUUGGUCCUGACUUUUCUAUCAACUCUAACCAAACUUACACAUGCAAGUAUCCGCGCCCCUGUGAGAAUGCCCCCACCCCCGCUUCCUUUGAAGGAUGCUAGGAGCUGGUAUCAGGCACAGCCCUCAGCUAGCCCAUGACACCUUGCUUGGCCACACCCCCAAGGGAACUCAGCAGUGAUAAACAUUAAGCCAUAAGUGAAAACUUGACUUAGUUAAGGUUAAGAGGGCCGGUCAAUUUCGUGCCAGCCACCGCGGUUAUACGAGAGGCCCAAGUUGAUAGACUCCGGCAUAAAGUGUGGUUAAGGAUUAAAUUUUACUAAAGCCGAAGACUUUCAAAGCUGUUAUACGCGAAUGAAAGAUUGAAGCCCAACCACGAAAGUGGCUUUAAUUACCCUGACGCCACGGAAGCUACGGGACAAACUGGGAUUAGAUACCCCACUAUGCGUAGCCGUAAACAUUGAUAACGCCCUAUAUUUGUUAUCCGCCCGGGAACUACGAGCGAGAGCUUAAAACCCAAGGGACUUGGCGGUGCUUUAGACCCCCCUAGAGGAGCCUGUCCUAUAACCGAUAAUCCCCGUUAAACCUCACCUCUCCUUGUUCCUUCCAGCCUAUAUACCGCCGUCGUCAGCUUACCCUGCAAAGGACCUAAAGUAAGCAAAAUUGGCUAACCCCCCAAAACGCCAGGUCGAGGUGUAGCGUAUGGAGAGGGAUGAGAUGGGCUACAUUCCAUCCCAGAUGGCACACGAACGGUUAGAUUGAAACAUCAACCUGAAGGAGGAUUUAGCAGUAAGUGGGAAAUAGAGCGUCCCACUGAAUCUGGCCCUGAAGCGCGCACACACCGCCCGUCACUCUCCCCGAAUAAAAACCUUUUUAUCCCUAAUACCAUACAACACGUAAGGGGAGGCAAGUCGUAACAUGGUAAGUGUACCGGAAGGUGCACUUGGAUAACC